GACGGAUGUGCCGCGGGGGGCUCCCUGGGAGUCCCCCCAACCGCGAUCGCCGGCGUGGGACCGCCGGCGACCGGGUAAGUUAACAAAAACCGGAGGGCGUACAAUUACGCCCGGCGGCGUUUAGAGCCGCCUAUUAGAGGGCGUAAUUGUACGUCCUGCGGUUUUAAGGGGUUAAAAGCAGGAUUGUCCUAAUGUUACCCUAACAUUUAUUCUGACCAAUCCGUAUUCCUUAGUACACUUCAACUGACUAAAGUAAAAUAAAAUAAAAUAAACUUGGGGUCAUGCUGCCCAGAAACUCUUAUUCCUAGUCUGUGUCUAACAAACUCAGGGAAAUCUUAAAACAACGUAUUCAUUGGAUAUCAUCAUAUCCAGAAACCUAUUCUCCCUAGUCCAUACCUUUAUAGACUUUGGUCAAAUAUAAUUGUGUACUAUACUCUUUCCAUUCAAUUCAAUUCCUCUUGGAUCUCUGAACUCUUAUAUCCAAGGCAUUCUUAAUGUAUACCUUUACUUAAUAUAAAUCAAUAUAAAUUAUCCUUCCUUAGUUUUCUUCCUUAUGUUACCAUUGUUUGUUUUACUUCACCUCAAUUAUAAACAAAUUACUCAUUAUAGUUAAUCUAUGAGAUACUAUUGAACUCAAUCUUUGUAGAAUUAAGUAACCAUGAUCCUUAUUUUAUCAACUUCAUAUUUUAUUUUCCUCUGAUACUUCUCAUUCUAUGUAUAGGUAAUAAUGUAAUAGUUCUCUUCAUAAUACUAUCCUAUCAUACUUUUACUCCAUGUGUUAUAUAGCUAUAAUUAGUCUCUUGGUAUUAAUACUCAUAACAGUUCAAUAAUUUUUCAUUGUCUGUUUUCUUUUCUGUUAAUAUUUAGGAAUUAAUAUGUAUGUUAGUGUCAAUCUUUUAUUUCUUUGUAAGUCUGUUAAUCUUCUGUAUCGAAUGAACUCUGUAGAAUCUUCCAUCACAGUUUGCCGAUCAGAUGAAAAGUCUCUUUCCAACAGUCGAUGUCCAGUUGUCUGAAGGAAUGCUUUCCUGAUUUAUUGCCACAAGGAUCUGUCACGCUUUACCUACAUUAAAACAAAUAACAUGUGCAGCAUCAAUACAAUGGCUUACAAUGUUUAUAUCUCAUUAUUAUUACACAGUUUAACAUUGAAUCAUAUUGACUACACAAAACAUACUCAUAUCCUCUCAUGAGAUCUACCAUCUAGUGGUCAUUACAUCUAUGCCAUGUGAUGUAUAAUCUUUAAAUUUCCUUAUAUUAAAAUCUUUCUGAACAUGUAAAUUCUCAAUUCUCAAACUUUUUAUUACUCAUACCCCCCUUUUAAACUGUUUAAUAAUCUGGAGGUAUAACCUAAUCACAUGUCAGAUGUUACAACUAAAUAUUGUUUUCCACUAUACGUUAGCAAUAGCAGCCAUUUUGUCUUAACACUGGCACCAUUUUGUCACAUGAAACAAACUACAAAAAACAUAUAUUGUUUCCUACAUCAAAUGUAUUUGUAAAUCUAGGUUUUAUCCUAUCAAAACUUUUGUCUUCUAUAUAAUCAAAACAUAUGUAUGUCCAGGCUUUGCAAAAUAUAGUAAUCCAUUAUCAGUCAUGACAUUAAAAUCUCAUUCUCAUGAAUUAAAUCAAAGAUUUUAAAUCAACCUCAGAAGUAACAUUGUUUUUUCUUCUGUAAAAUGAUUGGAGUUACUGUAUAAUCGCAUACACCCAAUAUAACAUACAUUGCAUGUUCCUAACUGCUACAUUAGUGUAUUUCAUUCUGCCAUAUUUGCAAACUUGAUGUAAAUUUUUAUUUCAAUUAAUUAACCUAAUACUUUCUUAUAACACACCUAAAACAAUGAAAAAACAGUUCAGACUAACAAUUCAUUAAAACAACAAACUAACAUAGAUCUCUAUUCUUGUGCUGUUCUUAAUUCUGGAAUCAGCCUGUGUACAUCUGUUGGAACACAUAUCCAUGCUCAUUCCCUAAACUGAUCAUAUCUCUUGAAGUUCUCUGAUUCUUAUAACUUUCUGAGUUGCACUGCAUUGCUUGUCUGUCUCCUAAUUUUGAUUUAGCUAAAAUUGCUUUUAUUUGUCUGAUUAUCAGUUUACAAGGAAAGGCUUUAAUUGAUUUAUCUCCACAUGUAUUUUCUCUGUCAAAAUUUUCAAUCAACAAAUUUAAUUUCUCAUUUGCUUUUGAUUUGAUAUCUCUGAUAAAAUAUCUGCAAGAUCUUAAAUAAUGUUGUUUAUUGCACCAAAAACAAAUAACUUUAGGAGUUAUAUUCUGCCUUUUAUUAUCAACUCUACAGUUUUUAGUUGAAUAAAUUGGGAGGGGCUCAGCUGUCUGUAUCACUCUACACUCUGUCCUAGAAGAAGAAGAAGGAGGGGGACGAGGGCUGCAACAUCUGCACUUCUU